UACGGAGGAUCCAAGCGUUAUCCGGAAUCAUUGGGUUUAAAGGGUCCGUAGGCGGGCCCAUAAGUCAGGGGUGAAAGUUUGCCGCUCAACGGUAAAAUUGCCUUUGAUACUGUGGGCCUUGAAUGGCGGUGAAGUGGCUAGAAUGUGCAGUGUAGCGGUGAAAUGCUUAGAUAUUGCACAGAAUACCGAUUGCGAAGGCAGGUCACUAACCGUUCAUUGACGCUGAUGGACGAAAGCGUGGGGAGCGAACAGGAUUAGAUACCCUGGUAGUCCACGCCGUAAACGAUGGAUACUAGCUGUCCGUUGCGCGCGAGCGCAGUGGGUGGCCAAGCGAAAGUGAUAAGUAUCCCACCUGGGGAGUACGUCCGCAAGGAUG
rnacentral:rRNA from 1 species